AUGGCCCCCGUCAUGGAGGGCACACACACCGUUGUGCUCCUGUAUGCACCCGUCACAGAGCGCAGCAACGUCAGCCGGUACUUCUCCAAGAGGCGGCCCCCGGGCUUCAAGUACGAGAGCCGCGCCCCUCACUCAGAAAUAGCCUGUAAUGACCAUGACCGGGCAAAGGAGAGUCUUGCGGUGUCCCAACAAAGGGGCCAGUCUCCUGGCUCCUCCGGCGAACUCCUUAUUGCCCGGCAGGCAACAAAGGACGCAGUUGCAGAGCUCUGCUGGCUCGCGGCGGAGCACCACCAGUUGCUGGCGGAUCUGUUGUCGCUGUGUAGGGAUUGCGCCGUCAAAGUGAGGAUGGGCAACCAGGACGGGAAACUCCAGGAUUACAUGGAGGGUACGGAAGUUCAACCCGGGGGUCAGAUUCAAGGCGGCGGCGGCGGCAACCGUGCUGUCACGGGGGUCCCGGACCCUAAGAGAGCUGCGUCAAAGAGCAAAAAGCCAAAGAAGUCGGGAGGCAAGAAGCUCGACGGCGUGCAGGACAUCCCACACAGUAAGAUGAGGAUAAAGAGGAAAGUUGCGCGCGGGACUCCGUGUGUUGAGCCGCCCGCUCGCAGCAGUGCGUCCGUGCAGCCGGUCUCUGUGAUGCAGCAGAUCCCGGGUACCUCAGCCUCGGGCCACGUCACCGACAGCCCGGUCACCGGCUCCUACGUCAGCGCAGUCAGUAAUCCCAUCCUGCCCAUGGAGGAACCCUUCCAGAUCCCUCGCGAGGGUUGGGACUUCCCAGAGGACAACCGGGCGCUCGACCCCGACGCCGAUUUCUGCGCCGACUUCUCGGAGUACGACGGCGAGCUGGGUUACGAGUCGUCCUUCUGCAACCUGAUGGAGGGUCUGACCAGGAGGGAAAGCGGGAGCAACCUUCGCCCGGCCAAGAAGCCCGAUGCCACGGGUGGGGUCGUUUCCGAGAGUGGGGAAAUCAACCAGAUUAGUAAAGAGGUCAGGGUGGUGGCCAAAGUGCAGUAUGUGGAAGGUAGGGUGCAACAUGUGAACCUCGCGAGGCCCGACGGGACGGGGCCAGCCGUGCUGCAUCCAGGGACCGGCAGCUGUCAGCAGGGUUAUAGUGAGUGGCGAGGCCCAAACGUAGACCCCUCGCUAGCAGUCAAUGGCGAAAAGACGAGUAACCAGCUCUCCGUGGGGCUGCGCUUGCCGUUAUUGCAUACCUCCGAACCUCGGCCCCCAGGUAAAUCCCACGCCAAGAGCCCGUCUUCAACGUCUCUGGCCGGGGUCUUCAACACGUCUUUCCCUGCCUCCAACAGUCUCCACAGCAUGUCCCCGGUCCUGUCCCCUCUAUCCCCCAAGCAGGCGAGCCCACAGCUCAACCACCGCAUCGUCCUGCUCUCGGAUAACGGCGCGGACCCCGAACGAGACGGCUCCUGUAACGCGGACGAGGCCAAAGUCUUCUCCGACGUCGUCGACAGGAACGGCAACAAGCGGCCCGUCGUCCGUCUGGAGCUGAACCUCAGCAGGCGGCCGAGCUACUUCAAGGGGAACUCCUCCAGCAACUCCACCACAACAGAGGAUUCCCUCUUGCGUCAUGAUGACAUUUGGAUGCUGGAUGGCGAUGACCACCCGGAGCUCUUUUCCCGCGCGCCGCGCCCCGAUCACCUCGACUUCCUACGCAUCACGCCGCCGGAGGACGACAUCCUCGGCGACACGCCCUACUGUCCCAAGCUGGAGUGCACGGUGAGCGCCCCAAAGCAGCACAAGCACCUACAGAUCAAAUUCAGAUAUAGUGUACAGUGUACCAUAGCACUGGUCUUUCUUUUUUUUCUUCCUCUUGGGACUCAAAGGGAUUUCUCUCCACUCGGGCGUUGA
ensembl:lncRNA